GACAGAGGCCUCAAGCGUUAGGCGGAAUCACUGGGCUUAAAGCGUGUGUAGGCGGAUCGUUAAGUACCUUGUGAAAUCCCACAGCUCACCCGUGGAACUGCUGGGUAUACUGGCGGUCUUGGGCCAACUAGGGGCAGCUGGAACAAGCGGUGGAGCGGUGAAAUGCGUAGAUAUCGCUUGGAACGCCGAAGGUGAAAACAGGCUGCUGGGGUUGUGCCGACGCUGAGGCACGAAAGCCAGGGGAGCAAACGGG
rnacentral:rRNA from 1 species